UGCCCAGCAACUCCUAUACCUACCUCUUCGCGGUACUGGCCGGGAUACAAGUAACCUUAGGGAAAAUCAGAUAACCAACCGUGGUUGGAAAUUUGGUAGUAUGCUGACAGGGAAGG
rnacentral:ribozyme from 1 species